rnacentral:rRNA from 1 species
GAUGAACGCUAGCGGCAGGCUUAAUACAUGCAAGUCGAGGGGCAGCAGUUUUGUAGCAAUACAGAAGCUGGCGACCGGCAAACGGGUGCGGAACACGUACGCAACCUUCCUUUAACUGGGAGAUAGCCCACCGAAAGGUGGAUUAAUAUCCCAUAAUAUAACUGAAUGGCAUCAUUUAGAUAUUAAAGCUCCGGCGGUUAAAGAUGGGCGUGCGUCUGAUUAGGUAGUUGGCGGGGUAACGGCCCACCAAGCCUUCGAUCAGUAGCUGAUGUGAGAGCAUGAUCAGCCAAACGGGCACUGGGACACGGGCCCGACUCCUACGGGAGGCAGAAGUAAGGAAUAUUGGUCAAUGGACGCAAGUCUGAACCAGCCAUGCCGCGUGGAGGAUGAAGGCCCUCUGGGUUGUAAACUUCUUUUCUUUGGGACGAAACCCCUGUUUCUACGGGGACUGACGGUACCAGAGGAAUAAGCACCGGCUAACUCCGUGCCAGCCGCCGCAGUAA